ensembl:misc_RNA
CCCUCGCGAUGGCCAUGCCUGUCAGUCGCCCGGAGCUUCGCUUGAGGAUUUUCUGAGCCUGAUGGAUUUACAGUGACCGUGGGCCGCCCGGGGAA